rnacentral:rRNA from 1 species
GGGUUGUGAGGUUAAGCGACUAAGCGUACACGGUGGAUGCCCUGGCAGUCAGAGGCGAUGAAGGACGUGCUAAUCUGCGAUAAGCGCCGGUAAGGUGAUAUGAACCGUUAUAACCGGCGAUUUCCGAAUGGGGAAACCCAGUGUGAUUCGUCACACUAUCAUUAACUGAAUCCAUAGGUUAAUGAGGCGAACCGGGGGAACUGAAACAUCUAAGUACCCCGAGGAAAAGAAAUCAACCGAGAUUCCCCCAGUAGCGGCGAGCGAACGGGGAGGAGCCCAGAGCCUGAAUCAGCAUGUGUGUUAGUGGAAGCGUCUGGAAAGGCGCGCGAUACAGGGUGACAGCCCCGUACACAAAAGCGCAUGUGCUGUGAGCUCGAUGAGUAGGGCGGGACACGUGGUAUCCUGUCUGAAUAUGGGGGGACCAUCCUCCAAGGCUAAAUACUCCUGACUGACCGAUAGUGAACCAGUACCGUGAGGGAAAGGCGAAAAGAACCCCGGCGAGGGGAGUGAAAAAGAACCUGAAACCGUGUACGUACAAGCAGUGGGAGCCCCACCACUAAGCCAGUGGUGAACUCCACAUACGCAUCCUUUGCUGAGGAUACGGUUAACGGAGCGAAAGCGACGUUCAACCGCAAAAGAAGCAGAGGGGGC